ensembl:lncRNA
UGCACAUGAGGUUCGGUGUCAUAUUUUACUCUAAAAGUUCAGGGUUUGGUCUAAACUCUAGAGAAGAAAAACCUUCCCGCACAAUCAGAGAGAGACUGGUUUUCAGCCUUCAGGGUCUUAUUUAACACACAGACAGUCAUUUUUCAAACAUCUCCUCCCUCCAGCAGAUCAUGUUUUACUUGCAUGUCGAGUGGGGGGGAUCCAAACUGCGACGGCAACCAUUCUAACUUUGCAUGCAGCUAGCAGGAGAAAAACUCAUUUAAAUGCAGGUGUGGUUUUUCUACAUUUAGACUCUGUGGUCUCACAAAGGCGCGUCUUUCACCAUCCGCGAUCUCAUACUUUCUAAUGCCCUCUUUUUGCAAAAUGGAGCAGACAUGGUUUCAAUUUUCCCACUGAUAGUAUCAAAGAAUAUAGACAGUGUAGUGCCUUUAAAAUGGCACUACACUAGUUUAAAUACAUUAUUACAGGAAAUAUCAUGACUGUCCAGUUCAUCCAUAACAUUUUUCUUCAGUGUCACCUUCUUGUUCCUCAUGCUUAUUCUGAUGGUGUUUCAUAGAGACAUUUUUCCUAGUCCACUGUGCAAUGCCACCACUCACUUAGUGCUUACUUUCAUUUUUCUUUCUGUGUUUGAGCAGGGAUGUCAGACUCCUUUUGUCAUAAGCUACUUUGAUGUUAAGUGAAUCAGACCAGUGAAACUGACCUUUCUGUCAGUGUAACUACACAGUUACACCAACACAUCUUAAUAUAAGGCAAAGAAGUGCCGUUUUAACUGUACACCUCAGUUUUUCUGCAUGAUAAAGAAAUAUUGCUGUUGGGUCAUUCCAUCUUCUGCUCGACAGGAGCAACAGAAAAAAAUCCUAAAAUCUGAACGACCGUGGUCUAAAAAAAGACACACAUAUUUAACAAAAUCAUUCUGAAAUCACAUGAAAGUGGGUUGAUGGAUGACAAAAAGGUUUCUGAAGUUUCUCUGUGGUCAUUAUAUACGGUAAAACUUUGGAUGAUAAUAUUUUUUUGUUCAAAUCAGAGAUGGUCAAACAUAAAAUUUUAAAAAGUUUGCUGAUUUAAGAUGGAAUAAAUAAAUUUGUAAAUUUACAGAAGAUCUGGUAGCUCAUUGUCCAGACUCUCCUGUAAUUUCAAAAGUGAAGAUUUUGUUAAAAUUCUGAUUUUUAAUUUUUUAAAUACAGAUUUUUCUCUGAUAAAUGCUAAAAAAAAAAAUCAACAACAGCAGUGUUCUGUCAUUUCAUUUGGAGUACAAAUGGCAGUGGGUGAGGUCUUUAUCAGUAGGAAAAGCUGUGACCAGUAAAAGUUUAAUCUGGCCCCCGGGCCUUAUUUUUGACACACCUGGUGCAAAUGAUUUGUUUUCAAACAUUUUUUUUUCUUCUUCUUCAAGAAAGCCAUCUUUACUGUUUACUAGAAAAGAUCCACACUGAAUUUUACUUUAAUAAAGAUGGAUAAUGUCAUCAGUCUUUUUUUAUGUCCCACAUUAGCACAUUGCUGCAGUUUCCCUUCGUAUUUGAGUCCCUUUGUAUUUCAUUUUCAUUUCAGUGACUGCGUUGAUAUGUUACCUGUAUGCAAACUUCCUAAAGUAAUAAAGACACGAUGGGCAGCUGA